rnacentral:rRNA from 1 species
AUUUUUGUUGGGGUGACAUUUAAAUUUUAUUUGGUUUUAAAAUACGAUAAAAAUACUUUUUAAUUUAUAAUAAUUUAUUUAAAACGAUCCAAUAAUAUUGAUCUUAGGACUAAGUUACCUUAGGGUUAACAGCAUAAUCUCUUUUGAGAGUUCUUAUCGACGAAGAGGAUUGUGACCUCGAUGUUGGAUUA